UGUUAGCGGCGGACGGGUGAGUAACACGUGGGUAACCUGCCUGUAAGACUGGGAUAACUCCGGGAAACCGGAGCUAAUACCGGAUAGUUCCUUGAACCGCAUGGUUCAAGGAUGAAAGACGGUUUCGGCUGUCACUUACAGAUGGACCCGCGGCGCAUUAGCUAGUUGGUGGGGUAAUGGCUCACCAAGGCGACGAUGCGUAGCCGACCUGAGAGGGUGAUCGGCCACACUGGGACUGAGACACGGCCCAGACUCCUACGGGAGGCAGCAGUAGGGAAUCUUCCGCAAUGGACGAAAGUCUGACGGAGCAACGCCGCGUGAGUGAUGAAGGUUUUCGGAUCGUAAAGCUCUGUUGUUAGGGAAGAACAAGUGCGAGAGUAACUGCU
rnacentral:rRNA from 1 species